rnacentral:rRNA from 1 species
GAUGAACGCUAGCGACAGGCUUAACACAUGCAAGUCGAGGGGCAUCACGGGAGUAGCAAUACAACUGGUGGCGACCGGCGCACGGGUGAGUAACGCGUAUGCAACCUACCUAUCAGAGGGGAAUAACCCGGCGAAAGUCGGACUAAUACCGCAUAAAACAGGGGCACCGCAUGGUGAUAUUUGUUAAAGAAAUUCGCUGAUAGAUGGGCAUGCGUUCCAUUAGGUAGUUGGUGAGGUAACGGCUCACCAAGCCGACGAUGGAUAGGGGAACUGGGAGGUUGGUCCCCCACACUGGUACUGAGACCCGGACCAGACUCCUACGGGAGGCAGCAGUGAGGAAUAUUGGUCAAUGGGCAGGAGCCUGAACCAGCCAAGUCGCGUGAAGGAAGAAGGAUCUAUGGUUCGUAAACUUCUUUUGCAGGGGAAUAAAGUGCAGGACGUGUCCUGUUUUGUAUGUACCCUGAGAAUAAGGAUCGGCUAACUCCGUGCCAGCCGCCGCCGUAACAC